rnacentral:rRNA from 1 species
UGGGGAAUAUUGGACAAUGGGCGGAAGCCUGAUCCAGCAACGCCGCGUGAGGGAUGACUGCCUUCGGGUUGUAAACCUCUUUCAUCAUUGACGAAGCCUGAUGUUGAGUUGGGUGACGGUAGGUGGAGAAGAAGCACCGGCCAACUACGUGCCAGCAGCCGCGGUAAUACGUAGGGUGCGAGCGUUGUCCGGAAUUAUUGGGCGUAAAGGGCUCGUAGGCGGUUUGUCGCGUCGGGAGUGAAAACACUGGGCUUAACCGAGUGCUUGCUUUCGAUACGGGCAGACUAGAGGUAUGCAGGGGAGAACGGAAUUCCUGGUGUAGCGGUGAAAUGCGCAGAUAUCAGGAGGAACACCGGUGGCGAAGGCGGUUCUCUGGGCAUUACCUGACGCUGAGGAGCGAAAGUGUGGGGAGCGAACAGG